GCAGAACAACACCUCGGCCACCACAGGCUAUGCACAGAAAAGCUCUGGUAGUCUCAGAGCUAGAAGAUACAUCCAAGGCUGUCUCAGGGUGCAGGCAACUGAUGAAGCAUCUCCUGCUCUGGGGCUAAUUGCAGCUGUUAACGAAGUGGGGGAGAGAGAUGAUGAUGACAGACAGCUCCUCUCCCACCUGCAGGGGUCAGUAAAUGGCCUGGACCAAGGCCUGGAAAUUCCCUAGCAGGGAGUUCAACCCAGCUGGAGCCUAGUGUGGAACCACUUAAGAGCCAAGAGUGUUCCU
rnacentral:lncRNA from 1 species